CGAGCACCAGGCUUCAAACAAUUUCGUUUUACAAGCAUUGUUCCUGCAAGAGCGAUUGUGGUUUCUGUAAUGGAGACGGGAUUCAAGCUCCUGGUCAUUUACAGAAUGCUGUUAUCAGGACAAUACCUUCUCCCUUCUAUAACAGAAUGAUAUUUACAUUUCAAGAUGAAGGAUAG